UACUAUAAGAUCACUCAGAAUGAACAUAGUGAGAGUGACAUUAUUAUUAGAAUAACCUACAAUUGGCAUUGCCUUGGGGUACAUGAAAAAAUCACAGAUCCCUCUCCAGGAAGACACAAUUUUCUUGUGGGACCUAUGGAUUGGGCCAACAAA